UCUGAGGCUUAGAUUUCUUCUCGUUCUCAAGAGCUAUAAAAGGAUACAGCAAGGUUGGAUGCUUCCUUAUGGCCCAAAAGGGAGUAGACUCUUUCCUUAAAGCAGUCUGAGAAGCAAGAGAAAUGGUAUGGUUCUUUAAUUUAGACUUUGCUAAAAGGAAGAAUGAUCCAAAAUUCUAACGUAUGUGUGAAGAUGGAAAGGCCAUCAGAGGAAAGAAAAUCUUGUCUGAUGAUGUAACAACGUGGCAUAGUUCUGAAACUCCUCUCCAGUCUUCCUUGACCUUCCUGCCCCUGUAUGUCAUUCCUGCUAGGUCAAGAGCACCUCACAGCUGCUGAGCCGUCCGCUAUCUGCAGUGGUGCUGAAACGACCGGAGAUACUGACAGAUGAGAGCCUCAGCAGCUUGGCAGUCUCACGUCCCCUUACCUCACUUGUCUCUAGCCGCAACUUCCAAACCAGUGCCAUUUCAAGGGACAUCGACACAGCAGCCAAGUUCAUUGGAGCUGGGGCU
rnacentral:sRNA from 1 species